UACGUAGGGUGCAAGCGUUGUCCGGAUUUAUUGGGUUUAAAGGGUGCGUAGGCGGCCUGUUAAGUCAGUGGUGAAAUCCAACAGCUCAACUGUUGAUGUGCCAAUGAUACUGACAGGCUUGAGUACAGACGAGGUAGGCGGAAUUGACAGUGUAGCGGUGAAAUGCAUAGAUAUUGUCAAGAACACCGAUAGCGAAGGCA
rnacentral:rRNA from 1 species